rnacentral:rRNA from 1 species
UACGGGGGGAGCAAGCGUUGUUCGGAUUUACUGGGCGUAAAGGGCGCGUAGGCGGCCACCGCAAGUCGACUGUGAAAUCUCCGGGCUUAACCCGGAAAGGUCAGCCGAUACUGCGGGGCUAGAGUGCAGAAGGGGCAACUGGAAUUCUCGGUGUAGCGGUGAAAUGCGUAGAUAUCGAGAGUCACACCUGCUACACUUGCGGGUUUCUUUUCUGACACUUACGCUAAUCCUCUAAAGCUAGGUUAUCGAACGGU